UUACUCAGUACUUAAAUGCAUAAUUACACUGUAACAAGGACACCUGAAAACAAAGUGUAACCAAUCAUGUCUUUUAUAUUAUUAUGGUGCAGUCAUAUAAAUAUUAUUCAAUGAAUUAAUACAUCUCAAAAUGAAUAUCCACUUAUUAUCCAUAGUAUGUUUCAUUUUAGUUUUUAGAGUUACAUAAAAAAAAUGCUAUUUGAUUUUGAUAUUGACCAUGAAUUGGUUAUUGGCAAUAACAUUUAAAUAAUUAGCGACAUGUUGCUCUCAUGAAUUUUAACAUGAUAUAAUUCAUUUUACUUUUAGUGAAUGAAUCAUAAUUAAUACAAUCCAUUAAAAUAUUAUAUUGUAAUAUUCCAAUAUUUUUAAUAUUGAAUAUGAAUUUAUACUGUUACAGCAUAUCUGUAUGAGCCAGAAUUGUAAUAUUGUGCAUUGCUAAUUAACUACAUUUAACUAGAACACUGAACAGUGGAAUCAAAUGGCAUUAUGCUGCUGACCACAGUAAGCACAUUUUACAGAAAGGCUUGAGUUUGCAGUGUCAGGAGGUAAAAUAUGAUAUUCAAACUUCUGUUAACAUGCUAAGUUUUUAACUUAUGUCCACUCUUACGAUCAGGAUUGAAACAUGAAGUUACGUUACCAUAAGCAAGUGCUUCUAUUACUAGCAUUCUAGAAUAAUAGAAGGUUUAUGCAAUUCCCCUGUUUCUUCAGAUAUUUGCCUCAAAAGAGUCAAAGGAGUGGUCAGAGCAGGGGUCGCCAGGAGGCUCCAACAUGGGCUCCACGGUGCAGCUCCGUAAAAUCAGCCCCGCCUCCAAAGGCCCCAUGCAGCACUUCCACAGGCCAGACAGUGGCACCAACAUCUAUAAGAAGCCACCAAUUUACAAACACGGUAUUUGUUCUUUUAUUAUUUAUAUUUUGUAGUUAGUGAUCUAUACCUCACUU
ensembl:lncRNA